CCUACGUGCGGCAGCAGUGAGGAAUAUUGGUCAAUGGGCGGAAGCCUGAACCAGCCAAGUAGCGUGCAGGAUGACGGCCCUACGGGUUGUAAACUGCUUUUAUACGGGAAUAACGCGCCUUACGUGUAGGGCUUUGCAUGUACCGUAUGAAUAAGGACCGGCUAAUUCCGUGCCAGCAGCCGCGGUAAUACGGAAGGUCCGGGCGUUAUCCGGAUUUAUUGGGUUGAAAGGGAGCGUAGGCCGCAUGUCAAGCGUGCUGUGAAAUGUCCGGGCUCAACCCGGGCCUUGCAGCGCGAACUGGCGUGCUUAAGUCCGCGGAAAGCAGGCGGAAUUCGUCGUGUAGCGGUGAAAUGCUUAGAUAUGACGAAGAACCCCGAUUGCGAAGGCAGCUUGCUGCAGCGGAACUGACGCUGAUGCUCGAAAGCGCGGGUAUCGAACAGGAUUAGAUACCCGAGUAGUC
rnacentral:rRNA from 1 species